rnacentral:rRNA from 1 species
CAUGCAGUCGAACGAGUCCUUUCGGGGGCAAGUGGCGGACGGGUGAGUAACGCGUGAGAAUCUGGCUCUAGGUUCGGGACAACCACUGGAAACGGUGGCUAAUACCGGAUGUGCCGAGAGGUGAAAGGUUAACUGCCUGGAGAUGAGCUCGCGUCUGAUUAGCUAGUUGGUGGUGUAAGGGACUACCAAGGCGACGAUCAGUAGCUGGUCUGAGAGGAUGAUCAGCCACACUGGAACUGAGACACGGUCCAGACUCCUACGGGAGGCAGCAGUGGGGAAUUUUCCGCAAUGGGCGAAAGCCUGACGGAGCAAUACCGCGUGAGGGAGGAAGGCUCUUGGGUUGUAAACCUCUUUUCUCAGGGAAUAAGCAAGUGAAGGUACCUGAGGAAUCAGCAUCGGCUAACUCCGUGCCAGCAGCCGCGGUAAUACGGAGGAUGCAAGCGUUAUCCGGAAUGAUUGGGCGUAAAGCGUCCGUAGGUAGCAGUGUGUGUCUAUUGUUAAAGAGUUUGGCUUAACCAAAUAAAGGCGGUAGAAACUACACAGCUAGAGUGCGUUCGGGGCAGAGGGAAUUCCUGGUGUAGCGGUGAAAUGCGUAGAGAUCAGGAAGAACACCGGUGGCGAAAGCGCUCUGCUAGGCCGCAACUGACACUGAGGGACGAAAGCUAGGGGAGCGAAUGGGAUUAGAUACCCCAGUAGUCCUAGCCGUAAACGAUGGAUACUAGGCGUUGAGAGUAUCGACCCUCUCAGUGCCGUAGCUAACGCGUUAAGUAUCCCGCCUGGGGAGUACGCACGCAAGUGUGAAACUCAAAGGAAUUGACGGGGGCCCGCACAAGCGGUGGAGUAUGUGGUUUAAUUCGAUGCAACGCGAAGAACCUUACCAGGGCUUGACAUGUCUGGAAUCUUGGGGAAACUCAAGAGUGCCUUCGGGAGCCAG